rnacentral:misc_RNA from 1 species
GAUGAAGAACGUAGCGAAAUGCGAUACUUGGUGUGAAUUGCAGAAUCCCGUGAACCAUCGAGUCUUUGAACGCAAGUUGCGCCCGAAGCCAUUAGGCCGAGGGCACGCCUGCCUGGGCGUCACACGUCGUUGCCCCCCCAUCUACUCCUUCGGGAUUGCGGGGGGCGGAUGAUGGCCUCCCGUGCGCCUUGUCGCGCGGUUGGCAUAAAUACCAAGUCCUCGGCGACGCACGCCACGACAAUCGGUGGUUGCGAAACCUCGGUUGCCUGUCGUGUGCGGUCGUCGCGCAUCGAGGGCUCGAAAAAAUUGCCGGGUUCCGGCUCGGCUUUCAACGCGACCCCAGGUCAGGCGGGGUUACCCGCUGAAUUUAAGCAUAUCAAUAAGCGGAGGA